CACAUGUCUCCCCAGACCUCCCCUUCUGGGCCCUCAUCCUCAUCUGCUUGGCGGGACUCCUGGUGCUCAUCACAGGCCUGAUCUGCUGUGUCCUGGAUGCAGACCUGAAAAUGAGGCUCAGAGCGGCAGUGACUUACCAAAGAUCACACAUCUGGGACCUAGAGAAGUUCUGACUGAGCUGCACCCAGGAGAUGGUCGGGGAGCUGGUGGAUGGUUUCCAGUUUGCCAUCUCCCUGAAGUGGACACAGGUGCACCAGUCCAUCAAUGACCAGGGCUGGUCUGAGGUGAGUGUGGGUGCCGAGGGGUUUUCACACCCAGGACCCUGAGAUGAUCAAGGCAGUACUAGAAUCCAGACUCAAAUAUGAGAUUCCCCUGGGACCCGGUGCCCCAGAAUUUUCUCACUACAGUGCCCCACAGUCCCACUCCCAAAGAAAUCUGGACUUCCACUCCUCCCCACAAGCUACACAGGAGGGUAGAGUGUCACCUCAGUCCUCCUGGUGGUUCACCAUGAUGUCACUGACUGUAUGUUCCUCCUCCUCUCCCCCAGUGUGAGGAUGAGUCCACUGUGAAUCUAAAUGAGGCCUGCAGGAUGCGUGCCCUCCAGGCAGGCGUGAUGGAGAAGCUGACAGAGUCCAUGGCACCAGCUUUCCUGAGGAGGAACAUCUCCAGCUUCACCACCUUCAUGGUCAACUACUCGGCCUCAGACACAUCCCACCAGGUCCUGGACCAGCUGUUUACUAGGUCCUGUCCUCCAUCGUACAUCCCAAGUGAUGCCCUGAUAGCCUGCUUUACAUCUGGAGGCAUCUUUCCUUGUUCCAGCCAGGAGGGCAGAGCGCAGGACCAUCUGAAAACUACCAUCUCCAGAGCUCCCUCCAGCUCCAGAGACAGAGCAAGGGCCAGCUCCACGGCUAGAUCCAGCUCCAGCUCUAGUUGCACCACCUGUGCUAGAGCUGGAGCCAGUGUCACCUCCAUCAGUCCCUCCAGGGCCAGAGCCACCACCAACAUCAGCUCCAGCCCCAGUGCCAGCUCCUGAGCUGGAGCCAGCUGGACCAUUGGCUCCAGGGAGAAUCCUCCCUCCACCUGGAGAGAUAACAGCAGAGCCAGAUCCAGCCCCAGAGCCCGCCUGCCCCUGGGACGUGACCACAAAGAACCUGCUGAGGGAGGAAAAGCCUGACUUCUUCUAGUUCCCUCCCCGGCUGGUGGCAGAGCAGUUGACACUGAUGGAUGUGGAGCUCUUCAAGAAAGUGAUGCCCCACGACUUCCUGGACUCCAUCUGGAACCAGUGUGACAACAGGGGCAAUGAGCACCUGGCACCCACCAUCCGUGCCACCAAAACCCACUUUAACAGAGUGGUCGAAUGUGUCGUCACCACCUGCGUUGGGGACCUGAGCAUGAUGGCCCAGGACAGGGCCAGGGUGGUGGAGCUCUGGAUCCAGGUGGCCAAGGAAGAACUGUACAAAACUUAAAAAGUUGAUGAAAACAAGCCAGCGGGAGAGCAGGAAGAUGCUCAAGGAGGUGAG